GGGAAAGUUGCAAAGCACUUUGAAGAGAGAGUUAAAAAGGACGUGAAACCGAUGAGGUGGAAACGGACAGAGCCGGCGUAUCUAACUCGCAUUCAGCCAUUUGCCAUGUGCGAUUGGGUAUCCAUUUCCAGAUUGGGAUGGCGCCUUUUCUGCAUGUGACAUUGUGGUGCAUUUGCGGGUGGAGUGCGCUGAGCCGGUCGAGCCAGCUGCAUGAGCCUGACUUUGAGGCCAGCCCUUCGGGAACUGGUACCCGAGUCGGGGGAAUGCUGUUUGGCUUGGCUGUUCGGGGAAUGGUUAUCGGGCCCAGCUGGGCGCCGAGCUGGAUGUUGGAAGCGGUCGCUUGCGACACGUGCCAGCAGUCAGUUCGGUCCURGUUGAGCUCUCAACACCCUGUCCUCGGUGUAAAAGCUGGUCAUCUGUCCGACCCGUCUUGAAACACGGACCAAGGAGUUUAGCGUGUGCGCGAGUCAUUGGGUGUUCAAAACUCAAAGGCGCAAUGAAAGUGAAGGUCUCCCUUGCGGAGCUGACGUGUGACCCGGGCCACUGCGGUGGCACGGAGCAACAUGGUCCCGUCCCGACCGCUUGCGGUGGGGCGGAGACAGA
rnacentral:rRNA from 1 species